UACGGAGGGGGGCUAGCGUUGUUCGGAAUUACUGGGCGUAAAGCGCACGUAGGCGGCUUUGUAAGUUAGAGGUGAAAGCCCGGAGCUCAACUCCGGAACUGCCUUUAAGACUGCAUCGCUUGAACGUCGGAGAGGUAAGUGGAAUUCCGAGUGUAGAGGUGAAAUUCGUAGAUAUUCGGAAGAACACCAGUGGCGAAGGCGACUUACUGGACGACUGUUGACGCUGAGUGCGAAAGCGUGGGGGAGCAA
rnacentral:rRNA from 1 species